rnacentral:rRNA from 1 species
GAUGAACGCUGGCGGCGUGCCUAAUACAUGCAAGUCGAGCGAACGGACGAGAAGCUUGCUUCUCUGAUGUUAGCGGCGGACGGGUGAGUAACACGUGGAUAACCUACCUAUAAGACUGGGAUAACUUCGGGAAACCGUAGCUAAUACCGGAUAAUAUUUUGAACCGCAUGGUUCAAAAGUGAAAGACGGUCUUGCUGUCACUUAUAGAUGGAUCCGCGCUGCAUUAGCUAGUUGGUAAGGUAACGGCUUACCAAGGCUACGAUGCAUAGCCGACCUGAGAGGGUGAUCGGCCACACUGGAACUGAGACACGGUCCAGACUCCUACGGGAGGCAGCAGUAGGGAAUCUUCCGCAAUGGGCGAAAGCCUGACGGAGCAACGCCGCGUGAGUGAUGAAGGUCUUCGGAUCGUAAAACUCUGUUAUUAGGGAAGAACAUAUGUGUAAGUAACUGUGCACAUCUUGACGGUACCUAAUCAGAAAGCCACGGCUAACUACGUG